rnacentral:lncRNA from 1 species
AAUGGCUCAGCCUUGGUGGAGAGAUCUGGCCGCCUACAGAUAACUGCGGUCUUUGUGCAACCCUUUCUAAGCACAUACGUACUGCUCCAUUCAGAGGGGGUUAGGCUAUUUAUUUGUCCAUUCUGAUCAUUUACAUGCAUUUCCAUCACACGUCCGUGAACCUGAUGUGCUCAUUCACUCACAAGCCUUUGUGUCGUUAACGCUGCAACAACGGCGACCAUAAAGGCAGCGAUACAAAUAAAAAAUUAAUGUUAAUUUAAUCAAAAGUCUCGUCCACGACUGUAUGUGUGUGCAUAUUCACAUGUAUGGGAGAUGAGAUGAGUGGAGAUAUCCCUGUCUGCUGCUCUGAGCUGUUUAUCAGCGCGUGGUUCCUCUCAGCAUGCUGAGCAGCCGAGGCGACUCCCAGUGUGAGGCUGAGCAGGCAGAGCUGUCAUUGUUUAACGCCUCCCCUGAUUAGUUUACUCUCGCCUGAUUAGUUUACUCUCAUCUGAGUAGUUUACUCUCGCCUGAUUAGUUUACUCUCGCCUGAUUAGUUUACUCUCGCCUGAUUAGAAAUUAAUUAAAAUGAUGACACAGAUCCCAGCAGAGGAGCAGGAGAAGGGGAGGAGGUGGAAGGAUAAAGGGGGGGUUGCUGGGGAGGAGGAGAGGGGGCAAAGAGGUGAAACGAGGGUUUGCUGGUGAUGUCCAUGGGGGAUAGUUGAAGUUAUGUCAGGGAGCUUUUAGCCAAAGAGUGUGCAGCAGGGAGGCAUUUGUUGUCGAGUGUGUGGCAAGCAUGAGGGGAUGAUUCUGUGGAAAUGAGGAGAGAGGUUUCAAUCCAUGGAUUGGUGGUGUACCUCAGAGAAAAGGAGGAGAAGCUCUUUAAAGAGCAGUCGGUUGAUCGGGAUCUCACCAACGAAGUGUUGAAAAUCAUUGUAACCAGAGGUGCCUCAUCUGAUCCAGCCAGCGCUCAGAUUGGAACGGUGGGAACAGAAGUCCUGGAAGAAGUAGACGUACCCAGAGCCUGUGCCUUGCUAAUGGGACUGAUCUACUCACUCAAUCUCAGCUACCCAAAGGAACUAAAAAACACCUUUGAAGUGUUUCAAAAGACAGACAAAGUGGUAUUUCCUGACUGUUCCCAUCCCCGUCUGAGUUAUAUGACACCCCCCUCCCCCAAAAUACGGCUGGGAGGGGCCCAGGGAAACGAGGCACCGCAGCCUUAUCCCGUGUGUUGA